GAUGGUAUAAAUGGCCCGUUCUGCAGACAGGGGCUCAGUGAUCUGUAUCAGACCCGAGUGCAGCGAUCAAGAUGAUGUCACACAGCUGUUUGCUGAUCAUAUUAACCAUCUGGGUUCAUGGAUCCUGUGGACAGAUUGUGAUGACUCAGACUCCAGACUCCAUCUCUGUGUCACCAGGAGAACGCGUCACCAUGACAUGUAAAGCCAGUAGUAAUGUACACGUCUAUGUAGCCUGGUACCAACAGAAACCAGGACAACCCCCAAAGCCCCUGAUCUAUCACGCCAGCAGCAGAUACAGCGGGACCCCAGAGCGGUUCAGCGGCAGCGGGUCGGGAACUGAUUUCACUUUUACCAUCAGCGGAGCGCAAGCAGAAGAUGCAGCAGAUUAUUACUGUCAGCAGUACUAUUGGAGUAAGCCGCCAACCUUAGCUUUGCCUUAUUUUUCAUGCAGUGAUGACCAGGGAUAG